rnacentral:piRNA from 5 species
UUCAGAUCGUAUAAAUCUUUCGCCUUUUA